rnacentral:lncRNA from 1 species
AGCCAUGCCCCAGAUUAAUAUGACAGAAAGCCACAGGAAAGGAGGAGAUCCACAUGUCAACCAAGAACUACAUAGCCACGAGUUGACAAUUGAGCGGCCAAAGCUAUCCUAAUCCUUCCCUGCUGGCAAAGUUGUGUUCUUUUGUGUGGAUAAUGGAUGGCUGAAAGCCUUCAUGUCCUCGUCACACUGCACAAGGAAAGGAAAAAAGAUGACGAGAGAUGGUGUACAUCAUUUGAUCUGAUCUGGUGUGGGGUUGGCAACUUGCAGACUAAACAAUGCAUGUCACCAGCAACUCUCCCUCUC